AAUUACUAAAAUAAUCUUGGAUUAAUAUACACGAAUUAGGUUGAGCUAAGUGAAUAAUAUGUUAGUACUUACUGUUAAAUGUAACACUAUUUAAUAAUUAUAUAUCAAUUAGGGGUGAUAUGCCAUUCAAAUACUAGGAUAUCUUGAUGUAUAAUAAAUAUAGUAGUAUUAAGACAACUAUAAAGUGAUUAGGCUUUAUAGGGGCAUAAUUUAUAUUAUAUACUUAAUAAAUUAUAUAACUAUAAUUAUUUAUAUCAUUUUAUUAUAUAAUUUCAACUGUAAUAUGUAAAUUAUUAUACAUUAGAGUUUUAUUUAUUAUUCUGGUUAUAAUGUAAUUAUUAGUAAAGAAUCUAGAUUCUAUAUAGGAACUCGGCAAAAAUCUUUUUCAACUGUUUACCAAAAACAUUGCCUUAUGAAUUAAUAUUAGGUUAACCCUGCUCAAUGGUAUAUCCAAAUAGCCGCAGUACCUUGACUGUGCAAAGGUAGCAUAAUAAAUUGGCUUAUAAUUGAAGUCUGGAAUGAAUGGGCCCAUGGAAAAAUGCUGUCUUUAAUGAAAUACAUUAAAUUAAUUAGGAAGUGAAAAUGCUUCCAAAGUUAUAUUAGACGAGAAGACCCUAGAAAUUUUGUAAAAUUCCUGAAAAAAAAAUAUUUUGUUGGGGCGACAGGAUAGCAUGAAACCUAUCAAUCUUUAUUAGAUUUUUGUUUAAAGGUUAAUUAAAUUACUCUAGGGAUAACAGCAUAAUAUAAUAAAGUUUGUGACCUCGAUGUUGGACUAGGGAAAUCAUUAUUUAGAAGACAAUGGUUUAUGCUCUGUUCGAGCAGUUUCCCCUACAUGAUCUGAGUUCAGACCGG
rnacentral:rRNA from 1 species